CCCAAAACCAUAUUUCUUCAUUCAUCGUAACAAUGCUUUCAUGGAGAGUAACUGCGUGAUGGUCUCGUGAUGAUCAUCAUUGUUGGCAGUAACAAGAGAUGGUCUUACUGAAGAGAUCGGAGAGGGAUCGAGAUUAGAGACAUCCCAUCUAUGUAGAGAUACCAUCUUAAGAAUACAACUGAGUAUCCGAACUCGAAAUUUUUUAAGCCAGUUGAUGCAGAUAACUUCGCAGUUUGGAACAGAAUAUCAGAAUCCAAGUGUAGUUCUUCCAGGUGCGGUUCUAGCCUUAUUAGGCCUUCAGGCUGUGACAAAUAACUGCUCCGAACUAUGAAUCCUGCUGAUUUCCUCUCAGAUAUUGCUCGUUAGUAUUACAAAUCUAAUUGUGUGAAUCAAAUUAACUUGCUGAACUAGCCCGUGCGAUUGCUAGAGAGGUCAAGAGAAGGCUAUAAUUGUGUGAAUCAAAUUAAUAAACUAGCCCGCGCAAUUGCGCGUGUUUACUGAA